CCUACGGGGGGCAGCAGUGGGGAAUAUUGCACAAUGAACGAAACCCUGAUGCAGCAACGCCGCGUGAAGGAAGACGGUUUUCGGAUUGUAAACUUAUAUCGUUAAGGAAGAAAAAAAUGACGGUACCUAAAAAGAAAGCCCCGGCUAACUACGUGCCAGCAGCCGCGGUAAGACGUAGGGGGCAAGCGUUGUUCGGAAUUACUGGGCGUAAAGGGAGAGUAGGCGGCAAGGUAAGCGAUAUGUGAAAGCCUUAAGCUUAACUAAAGGAUUGCAUAAAGAACUAUCUAGCUAGAGUACAGGAGAGGAAAGCGGAAUUCCUAGUGUAGCGGUGAAAUGCGUAGAUAUUAGGAAGAACAUCAGAGGCGAAGGCGGCUUUCUGGACUGUAACUGACGCUGAGGCUCGAAAGCGUGGGGAGCGAACAGGAUUAGAUACCCUUGUAGUC
rnacentral:rRNA from 1 species